GGCCUCGUGGUCUAGUGGUAUGAUUCUCGCUUCGGGUGCGAGAGGUCCCGGGUUCGAUCCCGGUGAGGCCC
rnacentral:tRNA from 1 species